rnacentral:rRNA from 1 species
UGAGUAACCAGCCCUCCACUCUGGGAUAAGCCCGGGAAACUGGGUCUAAUACCGGAUAUGACCUCCUGUCUCAUGGCGGGUGGUGGAAAGUUUUUUCGGUGGGGGAUGGACUCGCGGCCUAUCAGCUUGUUGGUGAGGUAAUGGCUUACCAAGGCGACGACGGGUAGCCGGCCUGAGAGGGCGACCGGCCACACUGGGACUGAGACACGGCCCAGACUCCUACGGGAGCAG